rnacentral:rRNA from 1 species
ACGCUGGCGGCGCACAUAAGACAUGCAAGUCGAACGAACUUAAUUGAGAGCUUGCUCUCAAAGCGGUUAGUGGCGGACUGGUGAGUAACACGUAAGCAACCUGCCUAUUAGAGGGGAAUAACAGCGAGAAAUCGUUGCUAAUACCGCAUAUGCUGUGAGUAUCGCAUGAUACAAGCAGGAAAGGAGCAAUCCGCUAAUAGAUGGGCUUGCGUCUGAUUAGUUAGUUGGUGGGGUAACGGCCUACCAAGACGAUGAUCAGUAGCCGGACUGAGAGGUUGAACGGCCACAUUGGGACUGAGAUACGGCCCAGACUCCUACGGGAGGCAGCAGUCGGGAAUAUUGCGCAAUGGAGGAAACUCUGACGCAGUGACGCCGCGUGCAGGAGGAAGGUUUUCGGAUUGUAAACUGCUUUUAACAGGAAAGAAAAAAAUGACGGUACCUGUUGAAUAAGCUCCGGCUAACUACGUGCCAGCAGCCGCGGUAAUACGUAGGGAGCGAGCGUUAUCCGGAUUUAUUGGGUGUAAAGGGUGCGUAGACGGAAAUGCAAGUUAGUUGUGAAAUACCUCGGCUUAACUGAGGAACUGCAACUAAAACUAUAUUUCCUGAGUAUCGGAGGGGUUUGUGGAAUUCCUAGUGUAGCGGUGAAAUGCGUAGAUAUUAGGAAGAACACCGGUGGCGAAGGCGACAAACUGGACGAUAACUGACGUUGAGGCACGAAAGUGUGGGGAGCAAACAGGAUUAGAUACCCUGGUAGUCCACACCGUAAACGAUGGAUACUAGGUGUUGGCAAUGAAUAAUUGUCGGUGCCGGCGCUAACGCAAUAAGUAUCCCACCUGGGGAGUACGACCGCAAGGUUGAAACUCAAAGGAAUUGACGGGGGCCCGCACAAGCAGUGGAGUAUGUGGUUUAAUUCGAAGAUA